rnacentral:sRNA from 1 species
GCACCUGCAAAAUCAGGUGUCGGGAUUCGCCUCCUGCUGAAUAAACCGCGACCAGAUACACGCCGCGAGCGUGUUUUUU